rnacentral:rRNA from 1 species
CCUACGGGAGGCAGCAGUAAGGAAUAUUGGACAAUGGGCGAAAGCCUGAUCCAGCCAUGCCGCGUGAAGGAUUAAGGCCCUCUGGGUUGUAAACUUCUUUUAUAGGGGACGAAAAAAGGGAAUUCUUUCCUCCUGACGGUACCCUAUGAAUAAGCACCGGCUAACUCCGUGCCAGCAGCCGCGGUAAUACGGAGGGUGCAAGCGUUAUCCGGAUUCACUGGGUUUAAAGGGUGCGUAGGCGGGUAGGUAAGUCAGUGGUGAAAUCUCGAAGCUUAACUUCGAAACUGCCAUUGAUACUAUUUAUCUUGAAUAUUGUGGAGGUUUGCGGAAUAUGUCAUGUAGCGGUGAAAUGCUUAGAUAUGACAUAGAACACCUAUUGCGAAGGCAGCAGGCUACGCAUAUAUUGACGCUGAGGCACGAAAGCGUGGGGAUCAAACAGGAUUAGAUACCCUGGUAGUCCACGCCUACGAUAGAUACUACGACAUUAGUGUAUACACUAUAAGUAGUCUG